rnacentral:rRNA from 1 species
GAUGAACGCUAGCGAUAGGCUUAACACAUGCAAGUCGAGGGGCAGCGUAUUCGAAGCUUGCUUUGAAUGAUGGCGACCGGCGCACGGGUGCGUAACACGUGGGCAACCUGCCUUAUAGAGGGGAAUAGCCUUCCGAAAGGAAGAUUAAUACCGCAUAAGAUUGUAGCUUCGCAUGAAGUAGCAAUUAAAGGAGUAAUCCGCUAUAAGAUGGGCCCGCGGCGCAUUAGCUAGUUGGUGAGGUAACGGCUCACCAAGGCGACGAUGCGUAGCCGACCUGAGAGGGUGAUCGGCCACAUUGGGACUGAGACACGGCCCAG